rnacentral:rRNA from 1 species
AUGGACAUACAGGUUGAACAGCUGGCGGUGGCCAUGGAAGUACUUCUCCCAGAGCGGCGAGAAGACGAUGUCGGAGUUGGUGAGGAAGAGGAAGGCGACUUUGGGCCGAGGGCGGCGGUGGAAGAAGUAGGAGGUGGUGGCCGGCUUGGCGGAGGAAGAGGAGAGGAUGGCGCGGCGGAAGAGGGCGAGGUCGUCGGACUCGUCGGCGUCCGGGAUGGCGGGGAGCGUCUUGGGUGGGAGGAGGCGCGGCCCAAGGAGGAAGACGACCGGGAUGGAGAGGAGCAGGAGCAGGGCGAGCAGGAAGGGCGAGGCGUGCGUCGUCACCGGCGACGUCAUCGCCGGCGACCGCAGGAGGGCGGGAGAAGCGCGGAAUGCGGGCGGCGGUGGGGAUUGGAUCUUGGUGGGAGAGGGGGAGAGAGAAAGAGCAGAUUUUUAAAGAGGAAGGGAUUGAGAGCGAUUGGCAGACAGGGACAGUCCUGCGGAGGAAUUGGGGAGGGAGGACGGAAAAAUGCCCCGCGAAUUGGAUCUUUCGAUCCGUCGGCCCGGCCUGAAGCAGGACAAGAAGGCGAGGAGAACCGGGAGGGGAGCGGCGAGCACCGGCGCCGAGGAUCAAUCCGAGGAGCGGCCGGGCAUGGCGUCCCUCCUCGGAAUCAGACCAAAUGGCGAGCGGCGCCGGGGCACCGGCUCCGAAUCCCGGCCGGAGCUCGGCCGUCUCCCUCCCUCCCUCCCUCGGCUGGGCUGGCUUCACCACGAGAUCCGGUAACCGCCGCGGGGUGGGGGGGACAGAGGAGACCAGGAACGGCACCUCGUGGGCAGGGCAGGGCCGGGCAGACAAGAAGAGCCAGGAACGGAGCAACCGACCGACCGACUGCCCCAACAACCAAAAGAAUCAGCGCGGCGCGGCCGGACCGGGGACGGGAGAAUGGCGGCGCCCGGCGGCGGAGGGGGAGGGGAGCGGCGGCGGGCGAGGGAGGAAUCGGGAGAUUUUGGGGAGAUCUUUGCUUGUGA